UCGCAGAUCAGACUGCUGCGGUGAAUGCGUUCCCGGGUCUUGUACACACCGCCCGUCACACCACGGGAGUUGGAGACGCCCGAAGCCGAUUAUCUAACCUUUUGGAAGAAGUCGUCGAAGGUGGAAUUAAUAACUGGGGUGAAGUCGUAACAAGGUAGCCGUAUCGGAAGGUGCGGCUGGAUCACCUCCUUUCUAAGGA
rnacentral:rRNA from 1 species